UUACGCCCCACGCGAGUUAGCCUUGUCUAUCUGGAUUACACUUCAGUUAUGUUUAAAUCGCGCUCGGUGAAUAUGUUACAAGAUUCGAGUGUAUCGCGAAUUCGCGGAAAUAUUUAGUGAAAUACACGUCUGCAAAUGACGAAAGAUGUGACACAAAAUUCCCUCUCAGAAAUCUAUGUUUAAAUCAUCUCGAUUUACAAUUUUCGUUAUCGCCUCGCAAAAGGUGUAAUGAACCUGUGAUGCUUUAUUUAAUAUUCCUUGUCAAAUGUCGUUAAAAUAAACGUGAGAAUGAGUAGUCGGAAUUUUAUCAAUGCCAAAAA